rnacentral:rRNA from 1 species
UACAGAGGGGCCAGCGUUAUUCGGAAUUAUUGGGCGUAAAGGGCGCGUAGGCGGCCUUGCGUGUCUUUCGUGAAAUCCCUCGGCUUAACUGAGGACGUGCGGAAGAAACUGCAGGGCUUGAGUCCGGAAGAGGAGAGUGGAAUUCCUGGUGUAGCGGUGAAAUGCGCAGAGAUCGGGAGGAACACCCGUAGCGAAGGCGGCGCUCUGGGCCGGUACUGACGCUGAGGAGCGAAAGCGUGGGGGAGCAAACAGG